CUUAAACCCCUGAAUCGGCAGCUAAGGGGCUGCGACCUUAGGGGAGCGCGGUGAGGGGUCUCCAGAGCCAGGCUUCUCAAAUCACGAUCCAGAAACCAGGUGAGCGUAGCGAGGCGGAGGGAUGCCCGACAGCGAGGAUGCGGGGAGAGGCCGGGGGGCUCGCCCUAGGACACCUCCCCGCAGAACUUGAGCCGCCCUUCAAGGCCUCCUACCGCGGAGGACGCCCCAUUCUCCUACCGCGGAGGUCAGCCUCCUACCGCGGAGGUCAGCCUCCAGGGCUGUGUGCUCCACUCAGCACACCAUCCCUCUUCUAGUUCCGCAGGUAUUUUACCCCUGGGAAUGGGAAUGUGAUCCUUUGGGCACCUGGAAAGAAGAAUUAGAGGGUUGUGAAGGAAAGCGGGGAAAUGGCAAUAUCUUACUUACCCUGAAUAUACACUUUAGAUCAAAACUACCCCUUCCUCCAUUUGACUCCUCAAAGUAUGUAGAUGCCAGGCCCUGCUGAAAACAUGCAAGCCCUCCUUCCUCAGCUUCCUUCACCAUCUUCUGAACCUGAGGAGUGCACAGCCACCCCGUCACCUGGAUGCACACCACUUACUGCCAUUAUCCUGAAGCUCAUUCCACUUGCUUGGGAUGGGCUUCCUAAAUUAAUCACUGAUGAUUCCUCGCUGCCAGAUAUAUAAUAAAGUGACAGUUGCCACAAUGCUCCAAACUUCCUCCUCCCCUUUGGCCUAUCGUUUGCCAGAAUCCCUGGCUAGUGAAAAUUGCAUACUGAAUAGCACCUCAAGGAAAAGCAGAAAGGUAAGCUCUGUCUUCCUUCUUGUUGGGCAACACCAGCUUCUAGCUGUCCUGCAGAUUGGGGCCAACACCAGGCCUGACACUUCGCUUCGGAAUGAAUCUGAGCAAAUGCUUUUGCCAAUCAAGAGACAAGGGAAAGAAUACGUAUCCUUAGCUCAUCCCAAAACCAAGGACCAUGGCAUAACUCAAAAUAUCUAUAAGUAGUAUUUGGUUGAGUAUUUUCAGCAUAGAAACUAGUUUUUACUUGGAUCCACUGUCAUAUAUAUGUGAAAACAGAUAAAAAAACUAACUUGCAAUAUUCCUUGAGCCAAUUCCUAGCAAUAAUGAAACUAGAGUGCCUGUGGGAGUUGCCAGUGAGAGGAGGCAGCAUUCCAACCUAGCUCUGAGUCAUCCCUACUUCCAAGAUGAAUAGGGAAUCUGAGAGCUACUGAUUGUUAAGUCAAAUGCUAACAGAUCUGGUAUUGAAAUGUUAUAUUUCAAGACUCAGAAAGGAUUAGAGAGGUGAAAAAGGAGAAAGAGAUCGUUUUUUCCCAUCCCACAUAUAGAUAAUACUUCACAGAAACUCAUUUGUAAUUUUUUUCAUGUUGUCUCAUGCUUUUGAUUAAGAAUCAUAAAAUCAGGAAGAAAUUUAGGGAAAUUUUGAAGAAAUUCAAAGAAAUUCUUGAAUAAAUAAUUUUAUUUCACACA
rnacentral:lncRNA from 12 species